rnacentral:rRNA from 1 species
GGGUUGUGAGGUUAAGCGACUAAGCGUACACGGUGGAUGCCCUGGCAGUCAGAGGCGAUGAAGGACGUGCUAAUCUGCGAAAAGCGUCGGUAAGGUGAUAUGAACCGUUACAGCCGGCGAUGUCCGAAUGGGGAAACCCAGUGUGAUUCGUCACACUAUCGUUAACUGAAUACAUAGGUUAACGAGGCGAACCGGGGGAACUGAAACAUCUAAGUACCCCGAGGAAAAGAAAUCAACCGAGAUUCCCCCAGUAGCGGCGAGCGAACGGGGAGCAGCCCAGAGUCUGAAUCAGCUUGUGUGUUAGUGGAACGGUCUGGAAAGUCCGACGGUACAGGGUGAUAGUCCCGUACACCAAAAUGCACAGGUUGUGAACUCGAAGAGUAGGGCGGGACACGUGGUAUCCUGUCUGAAUAUGGGGGGACCAUCCUCCAAGGCUAAAUACUCCUGACUGACCGAUAGUGAACCAGUACCGUGAGGGAAAGGCGAAAAGAACCCCGGCGAGGGGAGUGAAAAAGAACCUGAAACCGUGUACGUACAAGCAGUGGGAGCACCUUCGGGUGUGACUGCGUACCUUUUGUAUAAUGGGUCAGCGACUUAUAUUCUGUAGCAAGGUUAACCGUAUAGGGGAGCCGCAGGGAAACCGAGUCUUAACUGGGCGUUAAGUUGCAGGGUAUAGACCCGAAACCCGGUGAUCUAGCCAUGGGCAGGUUGAAGGUUGGGUAACACUAACUGGAGGACCGAACCGACUAAUGUUGAAAAAUUAGCGGAUGACUUGUGGCUGGGGGUGAAAGGCCAAUCAAACCGGGAGAUAGCUGGUUCUCCCCGAAAGCUAUUUAGGUAGCGCCUCGUGAACUCAUCUUCGGGGGUAGAGCACUGUUUCGGCUAGGGGGUCAUCCCGACUUACCAACCCGAUGCAAACUACGAAUACCGAAGAAUGUUAUCACGGGAGACACACGGCGGGUGCUAACGUCCGUCGUGAAGAGGGAAACAACCCAGACCGCCAGCUAAGGUCCCAAAGUCACAGUUAAGUGGGAAACGAUGUGGGAAGGCACAGACAGCCAGGAUGUUGGCUUAGAAGCAGCCAUCAUUUAAAGAAAGCGUAAUAGCUCACUGGUCGAGUCGGCCUGCGCGGAAGAUGUAACGGGGCUAAACUGUGCACCGAAGCUGCGGCAGCGACACUUAGGUGUUGUUGGGUAGGGGAGCGUUCUGUAAGCCUGCGAAGGUGGCCUGUGAGGGUUGCUGGAGGUAUCAGAAGUGCGAAUGCUGACAUAAGUAACGAUAAUGCGGGUGAAAAGCCCGCACGCCGGAAGACCAAGGGUUCCUGUCCAACGUUAAUCGGGGCAGGGUGAGUCGACCCCUAAGGCGAGGCCGAAAGGCGUAGUCGAUGGGAAACAGGUUAAUAUUCCUGUACUUGGUGUUACUGCGAAGGGGGGACGGAGAAGGCUAUGUUAGCCGGGCGACGGUUGUCCCGGUUUAAGCAUGUAGGCGGAGGUUCCAGGUAAAUCCGGUACCUUUUAACGCUGAGGUGUGAUGACGAGGCACUACGGUGCUGAAGUAACAAAUGCCCUGCUUCCAGGAAAAGCCUCUAAGCAUCAGGUAACAUUGAAUCGUACCCCAAACCGACACAGGUGGUCAGGUAGAGAAUACCAAGGCGCUUGAGAGAACUCGGGUGAAGGAACUAGGCAAAAUGGUGCCGUAACUUCGGGAGAAGGCACGCUGAUAUGUAGGUGAAGCCCCUGCGGGUGGAGCUGAAAUCAGUCGAAGAUACCAGCUGGCUGCAACUGUUUAUUAAAAACACAGCACUGUGCAAACACGAAAGUGGACGUAUACGGUGUGACGCCUGCCCGGUGCCGGAAGGUUAAUUGAUGGGGUUAUCCGUAAGGAGAAGCUCUUGAUCGAAGCCCCGGUAAACGGCGGCCGUAACUAUAACGGUCCUAAGGUAGCGAAAUUCCUUGUCGGGUAAGUUCCGACCUGCACGAAUGGCGUAAUGAUGGCCAGGCUGUCUCCACCCGAGACUCAGUGAAAUUGAACUCGCUGUGAAGAUGCAGUGUACCCGCGGCAAGACGGAAAGACCCCGUGAACCUUUACUAUAGCUUGACACUGAACAUUGAGCCUUGAUGUGUAGGAUAGGUGGGAGGCUUUGAAGCGUGGACGCCAGUCUGCGUGGAGCCAACCUUGAAAUACCACCCUUUAAUGUUUGAUGUUCUAACGUUGGCCCCUGACCGGGGUUGCGGACAGUGUCUGGUGGGUAGUUUGACUGGGGCGGUCUCCUCCCAAAGAGUAACGGAGGAGCACGAAGGUUAGCUAAUCCUGGUCGGACAUCAGGAGGUUAGUGCAAUGGCAUAAGCUAGCUUGACUGCGAGCGUGACGGCGCGAGCAGGUGCGAAAGCAGGUCAUAGUGAUCCGGUGGUUCUGAAUGGAAGGGCCAUCGCUCAACGGAUAAAAGGUACUCCGGGGAUAACAGGCUGAUACCGCCCAAGAGUUCAUAUCGACGGCGGUGUUUGGCACCUCGAUGUCGGCUCAUCACAUCCUGGGGCUGAAGUAGGUCCCAAGGGUAUGGCUGUUCGCCAUUUAAAGUGGUACGCGAGCUGGGUUUAGAACGUCGUGAGACAGUUCGGUCCCUAUCUGCCGUGGGCGCUGGAGAAUUGAGGGGGGCUGCUCCUAGUACGAGAGGACCGGAGUGGACGCAUCACUGGUGUUCGGGUUGUCAUGCCAAUGGCAUUGCCCGGUAGCUAAAUGCGGAAGAGAUAAGUGCUGAAAGCAUCUAAGCACGAAACUUGCCCCGAGAUGAGUUCUCCCUGAGACUUUAAGUCUCCUGAAGGAACGUUAAAGACGAUGACGUUGAUAGGUCGGGUGUGUAAGCGUAGCGAUACGUUGAGCUAACCGAUACUAAUGAACCGUGAGGCUUAACCUUACAACGCCGAAGGUGUUU